rnacentral:rRNA from 1 species
UGGCUGCAGUGGGGAAUUUUGGACAAUGGGGGAAACCCUGAUCCAGCGACGCCGCGUGAAGGACGAAGGUCUUCGGAUCGUAAACUUCUUUUGCAGGGGACGAAAAAAAUGACGGUACCCUGCGAAUAAGCCACGGCUAACUACGUGCCAGCAGCCGCGGUAAUACGUAGGUGGCGAGCGUUACUCGGAAUUACUAGGCGUAAAGCGCGUGUAGGCGGGAGUCUAAGUCUGUGGUUAAAUUUCGCAGCCCAACUGCGAACUGUCCACGGAAACUGGGCUUCUUGAGUGAGGUAGAGGGAACCGGAAUUCCAGGUGUAGCGGUAAAAUGCGUAGAUAUCUGGAAGAACGCCCAAGGCGAAGGCAGGUUCCUGGGCCUUUACUGACGCUGAGACGCGAAAGCUAGGGGAGCAAACAGGAUUAGAUACCCGAGUAGUC